GUAGGUGGCAAGCGUUGUCCGGAUUUACUGGGCGUAAAGAGCGCGCAGGCGGUCGUUCAAGUCGCGUGUGAAAGCCCCCGGCUCAACUGGGGAGGGUCACGCGAUACUGAUCGACUCGAAGGCAGGAGAGGGUAGUGGAAUUCCCGGUGUAGUGGUGAAAUGCGUAGAUAUCGGGAGGAACACCAGUGGCGAAGGCGACUACCUGGCCUGUUCUUGACGCUGAGGCGCGAAAGCUAGGGGAGCAAACGGGAUUAGAUACCCCGGUAGUCCUAGCCGUAAACGAUGGACACUAGGUGUUGGUGGUAUCAACCCCGCCAGUGCCGAAGCUAACGCAUUAAGUGUCCCGCCUGGGGAGUACGGCCGCAAGGCU
rnacentral:rRNA from 1 species